rnacentral:rRNA from 1 species
GACGUAGGGCGCGAGCGUUGUCCGGAAUCACUGGGCGUAAAGGGCGCGUAGGUGGCGCUGCAAGUCGGUGGUGAAAGCUCGAUGCUUAACAUCGAGUCGGCCAUCGAAACUGCAGGGCUCGAGCACUGUAGGGGCAGAUGGAAUUCCGGGUGUAGCGGUGGAAUGCGUAGAGAUCCGGAAGAACACCGGUGGCGAAGGCGGUCUGCUGGGCAGUUGCUGACACUGAGGCGCGACAGCGUGGGGAGCAAACAGG